rnacentral:rRNA from 1 species
CCAACGUAUGACAGAAUGCUUACACCUGCAAUGUCAAUGGGGAAACGGUGCUUGCACCGCGAUAACCAUGGCGGACGGGUGAGUAACGCGUAAAGAACUUGCCUCUUAGUCUGGGAUAACAGAUGGAAACGACUGAUAAGACUAGAUACUAUUAAAGCUUCGCAUGAAGCUUUAAUGAAAAGAGAUGCUAAGAGAGAGCUUUGCGUCCUAUUAGUUAGUUGGUGAGGUAACGGCUCACCAAGACGAAGAUAGGUAGCCGGUCUGAGAGGAUGAACGGCCACAAGGGGACUGAGAUACGGCCCUUACUCUUACGGGAGGCAGCAGUGGGGAAUAUUGGACAAUGGAGGAGACUCUGAUCCAGCAAUUCUGUGUGCACGAAGACGGUUUUCGGAUUGUAAAGUGCUUUCAGCAGGGAAGAAGAAAGUGACGGUACCUGCAGAAGAAGCGACGGCUAAAUACGUGCCAGCAGCCGCGGUAAUACGUAUGUCGCGAGCGUUAUCCGGAAUUAUUGGGCAUAAAGGGCAUCUAGGCGGAUAUACAAGUCAGGG